rnacentral:rRNA from 1 species
UAGGGAAUCUUCCGCAAUGGACGCAAGUCUGACGGAGCAACGCCGCGUGAGUGAAGAAGGAUUUCGGUUCGUAAAACUCUGUUGUUAGAGAAGAACAGCGCAUAGAGUAACUGUUAUGCGUGUGACGGUAUCUAACCAGAAAGCCACGGCUAACUACGUGCCAGCAGCCGCGGUAAUACGUAGGUGGCAAGCGUUGUCCGGAUUUAUUGGGCGGAAAGCGAGCGCAGGCGGUCAAUUAAGUCUGAUGUGAAAGCCCCCGGCUCAACCGGGGAGGGUCAUUGGAAACUGGUUGACUUGAGUGCAGAAGAGGAGAGUGGAAUUCCAUGUGUAGCGGUGAAAUGCGUAGAUAUAUGGAGGAACACCAGUGGCGAAGGCGACUCUCUGGUCUGUAACAGACGCUGAGGUUCGAAAGCGUGGGUAGCAAACAGG